UGUAUGCAUGUGUAUGUGUGUGUACAGUAUGUCUGUCUGAGGGUGUGUGUGUGACUGACUAACUCCUGUAGGGCUGCUAUGUUUGCUGGUUUUUGUUUCAACAAUCUACCCCACAUAGAUUAGUCAAUUACAGUCAUGGUUCCAGUAAGGUACUUCACUACUUCAGACAAAACUUCAGCCAGUUACAAGCUGCACAAAUACUAGUACUAAAACACACAUUUGAUGUUUGUAACUCAUUUGUCUGCUGUCCUCUGUAACUUUGUGUUUUAUGUCAGGUCCCCCUCGCAAAACAUGAUUUCCAUAUCAAUGGGAUUUUUCUGUUUAAAUGCAGGUUAAAUAAAUAGAAAAUAAAUAAACAGGAGGCUUGCAAGAGGCUUACAGGUGGUAUACUGGAAAAGUACGAGGACUCAUCACUUUCUACUUGUUCAUGAACUGUUUUCUCAUUGUGUUUUGGGGCUGUGCUAAUUUCACUUUGGAUGAAGUUCAAGGAAGGAACCAAAGUUUCAUUUUCACGCAGGUGACACCCGAUGGCACUUAUCUCUCUGAUAUAUAAGCAUCAAACACAAGCACAACCCACAGCAGCAGCAGCAGCAGCAGCAGCAGCAGCAGCAGCAGCAGCAAGCAGGAGCAGCAGUAGCAGCAAACAGGAGCAGCAGUCAUGCAUCAAUUCUUCUCAAGGAAAACACUUGACAAUCUUAUGAAAACACCAGGAGGGGCUAUGGUCAUAGUUAUAUUAUUCAUCAUGUUCCAGUACAUUUUCAAACUGGAUUUUGUAUGUCCCUGUGACCUUCGCUAUAACAUACCUUUCUGUUUACUUUAUGUGGUUCUACCGUUCAGCUUCGUGACUCUGACUGUGAUGCUGAUAGACCCUCACUGUACGUGGGAAUGCAAACUAAAUGAAUGCAGGAUAUGGGCACACUGCUCCUCAAUAGUCAAAAGUCUACUCCUAGGCUCGGUGUGGGUAAUUACUGCAUUGAUUGAUGGAGAGAUAUCAGUGUGUUUUUUCGCCAAUAACGUGACAACUGGGCAGCAGGAUGCAUGCAUAGAGGUGACCAGCCGGAGCCCUGAACAGCAAAGGACCAUCAACUUCUAUGUGAACGUAUCUCGGAUAUUAGGCCUCGGUGUCAUAUUGAUUAUGUCACUCCUAUAUGCUGCCUAUAAUGCCUGUUGCAGGAAAACAUACCAGGAAUCUCUGUGCAAAAAGUACAAAGAUAAAUACAUAAAGACCUUACUGAAAGAGGAACAACGUAAACGGGGAAAAGAAGAGGCUGACGAACUAAUUUCAAAUAGGAAGAACUCCUCAACGCUCCCACCCGAGGCAAUCUGCCUCACAUCCUGCUGCUCAAAAUGAAGUUCCAAAUGUACGCACACCUUUACUGCAAGGCUGCGAAAAACUAAACUACCCCUCUGGAUCCCAGGGAACUCAGAGCUCAUUUUAAAUUACAGAAAGUAAAAAUUUUACUGAAAAGAAAUGCCUUCAUUUAAAAAAUUAAUUAUUUUUUUUAAUCACUGAAAAAUUAUAUUAGGAAAAGUCAUUAAAUAUGAAGCAAAAAAAUGAUGUCAAUCAUUUAUUUAGAGACGUUAAACAUUGAAUGGGGUCAAAUUGACCCCAAAGAUAAUAGGAGGGUUAAAAAAAAAAAAAAAUUAAUAGCAAUCGUAGCAACAGUAACCAAUAGUUCAAGUUUAAAAAAAAAUCAACUGGAGGUUUCCAGCUGCCAGGAACAGCCUGCAGGUGAAAUACUGUACAUUGAUUGGCUGGAGCAUUGAUAGGCUGGAGCUGGAGCAUGGAUAGGCUGGAGCUGGAGCAUUGAUAGGCUGGAGCUGGAGCACUGAUAGGCUGGAGCUGGAGCAGUGAUAGGCUGCUGUAUGUAAUGUAACAGUGUAACAAAACUGCAAUGAUUGAUGACAUAACGGCAAGCAAAUAUAUUUGCUGUGAAGUAAGGUUUGGUAAAGUUUGGUAAGGUUUGGUAAAGUUUGGUAAAGUUUGGUAAGGCUUAGUUAGGUUUGGCAAGGCUUGUUAAGGUUUGGUACGAUUUGGUAUUACAACUGAGCUCUGAGCACCACUGUGAGCCAUAGAAGCAGUACUGCAUCACAUUUCAAUUGUAUUACUAAACAAUAAGGUUGUAAAUGUAGCGCUUUUUCUUAUUAUUGUUUAAAACUGCACCUUUUAAGCACUGUAUAUGAACCAGAAUAUAAAGUAGAAUGUAAGCAUAAUAUCCAUGUGCAAUUUCUCUCUGAAGCGCUUUUGCUGUCGCCUUCGUCUACCAAAAUGUAUACAAUUUGCUUAUUUACUUCAUCAGUGAAUUUGUCUCUUGAUUUUGCUAAAUAAAAUAAACACUUUGAUUCAUA